rnacentral:lncRNA from 1 species
UUUUUUUUUUUUUUUUUUUUGUAUUUUUAGUAGAGAUAGUGUUUCAACGUGUUGGCCAGGCUGGUCUCAAACUCCUGAGCUCAGGCAAUCUGCCCACCUUGGCCUCCCAAAGUGCUGGGAUUACAGGCGUGAGCCACCGCAUCCAGCCUGUUUUUCUUUAAUGUCUGAUUUUCAAAAGAGAACACUAGAACAUCCCUACAUCUCACAUUCACGCUCAGUCUUUAAGCACCCAGGGACUGUCCUAAGGUGAUGGGAUCCCGGGACUGCUCAUGCAGAACAACACUGGCAUCUCACCCAAACACGCUUUUCUUGCUUGAGAGUGAUGGGGAUGAGGGGAACAGUUCGAAGCAGACUGAUUUGCUUGGAUAUCUUUAGACAGACAAGAGAGGAUAAAGGAGGUAGGAGAAGCUGCUGCAAAGAACUGAAAUGUAGGUCCAAUAUCCUGAUUUUUAAAGGACAAAAGGCAGAUUCCAGAACCUACAGAUCAGGAAACAUAUUCAUUCGUUCGGCAUUUACUGAGCAUGUACUAUGUGUCCAAUGCUAGAGAAUCCAUGAUAAAAGGUCUCGGCUUACAUUCUUGUGGAGAAGAGAGACCACACACAAAUACACUCAAAUAAAAAGCAAUAUAAAGUAAUACAAAGCAAGUGGAGGGGAAAGAGUGAUGUGUGUGCAUCGUUUUGGAGAAAGUCACAAUGUCAGAGUGACUUAAUGGAUAUGGAUAUACUUCAAGAAUAUGUUGUAAAGUAUAUACUGCAAGUUCUUCAUUGUUUUCAAACAGAUUCAACAGUUGCUGGAAAAGAAUUUUAGGUGGGGGGAUGAUCCUGAGGAAUUAGCAAUUAGCUGUAGGUCCAGUAAGAAAACCCACAUAAAAUAAACCCAAAAAUACCCUUACUUAGACUUAAUGAUCUGAGAAAUACAGUAAAGUAUGCUUUUUUAUCUUAAUAAGGUAGCACAAAAUUUAUCAUUUCUUUAUAUCCAGGACAGCAAAACAGCUUUCAGAUAAUAAACUGUGGCCAACUUUAUAGCCAACUAAUGAUGCCAUUACUUUAAGCGUCAACACAGAGGUCCGUGUGUCUCGGGACACGCCACAAGGCUCUGUCUUGUCCCUACUCGGCUGAUUGAAAUCAACAGCUUGAGGAACAAGACCAUGCAGGCAUGCCCACUUGCAGAGCACAUCAAGCUCAAGGGAAUAAUUAAAAUGCUCAAUGGUGGAAUCAAGACUGAGAAAAAAAAUCUCCAUGAGUUGGAACGACAGGCCCAAACUAACAGGACCAAACUUUAGAAGGAAAAACAUGAAGCCCUACAUUUAAUUUCAGGCAAUCUGCUAAACCAAUGGAGGAUGGAAGAGACCUGGGGUCUUCAGAGUUCAUGCAAACAACAAUAACAAAAUAUCUACGGGUUUUACUUGAUGACAAACUCAGAGGAAGCCCGAGGUUGGCAUGGUGGCCAAAGACCAUAAUGGGGUCUGGCAACAGAACUACUCUGUACCUGUUGGGGCUCAGCAGGUCCACAGCCCAUC